UCCACCGUCCAUUGAUUUCCAUAACUUUCUAUUCAUCUUCUCCACCGACUAACUCUAACUGAUGCAGCGGUUCUCCCCUUUAAGCUUCCAUCUCCACUCACAUGGAUCCCCCUUGCUGUGGCUGGUCGGACUGAGGUGAGGUUCCCCUCUCGGUGCCGCGCGCGCCUCUGCCGGUGCCAUCGACUGCCUCCCUUCCCCUGCCCCCUCAGUAAUCCUUGGUGGCCUCCGCCGGACACCGCUUCGUCCAUUGCUCCCCGCAGAUGGAAUACAGAAUACAUGGAGAGGAUGUUGCAGCAUGCGGUGGUGGAUUUGUGGUCGUCUUACUCCACCAACAUCACCUGCACCAAGGAGCCACUUUUUGGAAGGAAGCUCUGUUCGGUCUCCAUGCACCUCCUACUAUCAGCAAGUCCGGUUAGUCUCUCAUGUCCACAAUCCUUGCAAACUCAAGAACUGCCGGCAAGCAUAUGUCGAGAUAUGAUAGAUCGUGCUCAUAACUCCGAUCCGGUUGAUUCUAAUUGGAAGCGCUAACAAUUUCCUAAUUUUUUUCAGAUCUUAGAGCAUUGUUUGUACAGCUUAUGUAAUAUUUUGCUUUGAAUCGAUGCAUAUGGAUUUUUGUGCAUUACUCGCUGUGGCUCUGUGUUGCUUACUAAUCAACCCACCAGCCUUUUCAGACUUGGAUAUUUGUCAUGUUGAUGAGCUUGCUUUUAUGUAUUUUGCCAAAGCAACACCCAUGAAAAGUUAAUCAGAUGUACUAACUCGUGCAAUUAUUUUCUAGGAUGAGGAGCUGUAGUGUCAACAACUCUACCUACUGAUCAACAAUAAAUGAUAUGUCCAAUGAAAAGUUUCUUUCAUUAGAAUGUUCUAGGCAUUUUGUUUCGAAUCUUGAACUGAUAGCAAAAUGUUUCAGAUAAUGUCCUCUCUUCAUUUCUUAUAUUGAAUAGUUAAUGAUAAAUCCAGCCACAUUUCUCUCUACUAUGCUUAUUGAUACAAGCUUUGUAUUUUUGGAACACAACUGUUUUACCUUCGACAAUGCCAUCCGGGCAUCAGCUCCCUAUAUUUUGCUAUAUAUAAUAUUUUUUAAAGUUCGUACUCUACUGUAGUUUUUUAUCACGAACUAAUUGGGGUUUUCUCUAUAAGUAGCGCUUUUUAUACAACUCUGACCUCUACUAUUUUUCUUGGUGUAGAUUAUCAUCUUUCUUCUACGAUGUUACAGAUUAUACUAUUUGAGCAUUGCUUCCUUUGGUUCCAAUGCUCCAGUUUUUAUGGCAUGACAUUAGAGCCUGUAAUAAAGAAAUUACAGCUUCAGUUGAAACCCAACUCUGAUGACAUAGUAGAUACAAAUUGCAUUGAGAUUUAGAUCUAUCAGUUAGGAGUUUAACUAUUUGUCAUGCCUCUUGAAUAUAAAAGCUAACAUAAUUUUCAUUGAUGGAGCAUGUAUGAGUGUAGUUAUUGCAUUAUGCAGAUGUAAAAUUUAUGAUGAAUGAACAAAGUUGCUUCACUUGGUAAUA